GGAAACGAUUGCUAAUACCCCAUAUGCUUAAAAUAAAAUAUUUAAGUGAAAUGGAAGUUCCGCCUAAAGAAAAGCUUGCGGCUGAUUAGCUUGUUGGUGAGGUAAAAGCUUACCAAGGCGACGAUCAGUAUCUGGUUUGAGAGGACGAUCAGACACACUGGAACUGAGACACGGUCCAGACUUCUACGGGAGGCAGCAGUAGGGAAUUUUCCGCAAUGGGCGCAAGCCUGACGGAGCAAUACCGCGUAGGGGAUGACGGCUUACGAGUUGUAAACCCUUUUUUUUUCAGGGAGGAAAAAAAUGACGUGUACCUGAAGAAUAAGCAUCGGCUAACUCCGUGCCAGCAGCCGCGGUAAUACGGAGGGGGCUAGCGUUGUUCGGAAUUACUGGGCGUAAAGCGCACGUAGGCGGACUGGAAAGUCAGAGGUGAAAUCCCAGGGCUCAACCUUGGAACUGCCUUUGAAACUAUCAGUCUGGAGUUCGAGAGAGGUGAGUGGAAUUCCGAGUGUAGAGGUGAAAUUCGUAGAUAUUCGGAGGAACACCAGUGGCGAAGGCGACUUUCUGGUCUGUAACUGACGCUGAGGCGCGAAAGCGUGGGGAGCAAACAGGAUUAGAUACCCUGGUAGU
rnacentral:rRNA from 1 species